CACGCCCUAAACGAUGCGAACUGGAUGUUGGUCCCAACUUGGAGAUCAGUGUCGAAGCUAACGCGUUAAGUUCGCCGCCUGGGGAGUACGGUCGCAAGACUGAAACUCAAAGGAAUUGACGGGGGCCCGCACAAGCGGUGGAGUAUGUGGUUUAAUUCGAUGCAACGCGAAGAACCUUACCUGGCCUUGACAUGUCCGGAAUCCUGCAGAGAUGCGGGAGUGCCUUCGGGAAUCGGAACACAGGUGCUGCAUGGCUGUCGUCAGCUCGUGUCGUGAGAUGUUGGGUUAAGUCCCGCAACGAGCGCAACCCUUGUCCUUAGUUGCCAGCACGUAAUGGUGGGAACUCUAGGGAGACUGCCGGUGACAAACCG
rnacentral:rRNA from 1 species